CCUGACGCAGCGACGCCGCGUGUAGGACGAAGCACUUCGGUGUGUAAACUACUGUCAGGGGUUAGGAAGAAAGUGACCAACCCCAAAGGAAGCCUCGGCUAACUCCGUGCCAGCAGCCGCGGUAAUACGGAGGAGGCAAGCGUUGUUCGGAAUCAUUGGGCUUAAAGCGUGUGUAGGCGGAAUGGAAGGUAUCUUGUGAAAGCCCUCGGCUCAACCGAGGAACUGCUCGGUAACCACCAUUCUUGAGGUCAGCAGGGGUACCCGGAACUUUGGGUGGAGCGGUGAAAUGCGUAGAUAUCCAAGGGAACGCCGGUGGCGAAAGCGGGGUACUGGGCUGAAUCUGACGCUGAGACACGAAAGCGUGGGGAGCAAACAGGAUUAGAUACCCUGGGAGUCCACGCCGUAAACGGUGAGAACUCGUCAUAAUGGGUAUUGACCCCUGCUGUGACCAAGUUAACGCAUGAAGCUCUCCGCCUGGGAAGUACGGUCCAAGACUAAAACUCAAAGGAAUUGACGGGG
rnacentral:rRNA from 1 species